UUGCAUUCAAUCCCUGGGACCU
rnacentral:piRNA from 1 species